rnacentral:rRNA from 1 species
UACGUAGGGUGCGAGCGUUAAUCGGAAUUACUGGGCGUAAAGCGUGCGUAGGCGGUUCGUUGUGUCUGUGGUGAAAGCCCCGGGCUUAACCUGGGAAUGGCCAUGGAAACUGGCGAGCUGGAGUGUGGCAGAGGGGGUGGAAUUCCGCGUGUAGCAGUGAAAUGCGUAGAGAUGCGGAGGAACACCGAUGGCGAAGGCAGCCCCCUGGGCUAACACUGACGCUGGAGGCACGAAAGCGUGGGGAGCAAACAGG